rnacentral:rRNA from 1 species
GGAUAACUACCCUUUAGGACUGGGAUAACCCUGGGAAACUGGGGCUAAUACCGGAUAGGCAAUUAUUCCUGCAACGGUUUUUUGUUUAAAUGUUUUUUCGCCUAAGGAUGAGUCUGCGGCCGAUUAGGUAGUUGGUUAGGUAAUGGCUUACCAAGCCGUUGAUCGGUACGGGUUGUGAGAGCAAGAGCCCGGAGAUGGAACCUGAGACAAGGUUCCAGGCCCUACGGGGUGCAGCAGGCGCGAAACCUCCGCAAUGUGAGAAAUCGCGACGGGGGGAUCCCAAGUGCCAUUCUUAACGGGAUGGCUUUUCAUUAGUGUAAAGAGCUUUUGGAAUAAGAGCUGGGCAAGACCGGUGCCAGCCGCCGCGGUAACACCGGCAGCUCUAGUGGUAACAAUUUUUAUUGGGCCUAAAGCGUCCGUAGCCGGUUUAAUAAGUCUCUGGUGAAAUCCUGCAGCUUAACUGUGGGAAUUGCUGGAGAUACUAUUAGACUUGAGACCGGGAGAGGUUAGAGGUACUCCCAGGGUAGAGGUGAAAUUCUGUAAUCCUGGGAGGACCGCCUGUUGCGAAGGCGUCUAACUGGAACGGUUCUGACGGUGAGGGACGAAAGUUAGGGGCGCGAACCGGAUUAGAUACCCGGGUAGUCCUAACUGUAAACGAUGCGGACUUGGUGUUGGGGUGGCUUUGAGCUGCUUCAGUGCCGAAGGGAAGCUGUUAAGUCCGCCGCCUGGGAAGUACGGUCGCAAGACUGAAACUUAA